UCACCGGGUGAACAGAAGCUGU
rnacentral:miRNA from 1 species